rnacentral:rRNA from 1 species
GAUGAACGCUGGCGGCGUGCCUAAUACAUGCAAGUCGAGCGAACAGACGAGGAGCUUGCUCCUCUGACGUUAGCGGCGGACGGGUGAGUAACACGUGGAUAACCUACCUAUAAGACUGGGAUAACUUCGGGAAACCGGAGCUAAUACCGGAUAAUAUAUUGAACCGCAUGGUUCAAUAGUGAAAGACGGUUUUGCUGUCACUUAUAGAUGGAUCCGCGCCGCAUUAGCUAGUUGGUAAGGUAACGGCUUACCAAGGCAACGAUGCGUAGCCGACCUGAGAGGGUGAUACGCCACACUGGAACUGAGACACGGUCCAGACUCCUACGGGAGGCAGCAGUAGGGAAUCUUCCGCAAUGGGCGAAAGCCUGACGGAGCAACGCCGCGUGAGUGAUGAAGGUCUUCGGAUCGUAAAACUCUGUUAUUAGGGAAGAACAAAUGUGUAAGUAACUAUGCACGUCUUGACGGUACCUAAUCAGAAAGCCACGGCUAACUACGUG